AACAUGUCCUCUCUAAUGCCAUGUUAUGUCUCAUUGCCGAUUAACAAGGCCUCGCUUGUGGACUAUAUCAAUUAUGGUUCUAUUAUCCUAGCACCUGAAGUAAUUGAACAAUUUAGUGUGCUCGAGAAACGUAGAACUAUAAAU